rnacentral:rRNA from 1 species
UGAGUACGAGAUGCUACGGCAUCGAAGCAGUCUAUGUCAUACUUCCAAGAAAAGCUUGCAAUGUCAUAAACAAAUAAUGCCUGUACCAUAACCGACACAGGUGGGUAGGUAGAGUAUACUAAGGGGCGCGAGAUAACUCUCUCUAAGGAACUCGGCAAAAUGACUCCGUAACUUCGGGAGAAGGAGUGCCUUAUUUUUAUAAGGUUGCAAUAACAAGAUCCAAGCAACUGUUUACCAAAAACACAGGUCUCCGCUAAGUCGUAAGACGAUGUAUGGGGGCUGACGCCUGCCCAGUGCCAGAAGGUUAAAGAAGUUGGUUAGCAUUAGCGAAGCUGAUAACUGAAGCCCUGGUGAACGGCGGCCGUAACAAUAACGGUCCUAAGGUAGCGAAAUUCCUUGUCGGGUAAGUUCCGACCCGCACGAAAGGCGUAAUGAUUUGGAUACUGUCUCGGAGAGGGGCUCGGUGAAAUAGACUUGUCUGUGAAGAUGCGGACUACCUGCACCUGGACAGAAAGACCCUAUGAAGCUUUACUGUAACUUGAGAUUGAAAUUGGACUUUAUCUGCGCAGUAUAGGUGGGAGACGUUGAAAAUAUUCUUGCGGGAAUAUUGGAGUCAUCAGUGAGAUACCACUCUUAUAAUGUUAGAUUUCUAACUUUGUAUCAUUAUCUGGUCAAAGAACAGUUUCAGGCGGGCAGUUUGACUGGGGCGGUCGCCUCCCAAACGGUAACGGAGGCGCACAAAGGUUUCCUCUGAACGUGUAGAAAUCGUAUCUAGAGUGUAAAGGCAUAAGGAAGCUUGACUGUGAGACCUACAAGUCGAGCAGGGACGAAAGUCGGUCUUAGUGAUCUGACGGUGCUGAGUGGAAAGGCCGUCACUCAACGGAUAAAAGUUACUCUAGGAUAACAGGCUGAUCUCCCCCAAGAGUUCACAUCGACGGGGAGGUUUGGCACCUCGAUGUCGGCUCAUCGCAUCCUGGGGCGGUAGUACGUCCCAAGGGUUGGGCUGUUCGCCCAUGAAAGCGGUACGCGAGCUGGGUUCAGAACGUCGUGAGACAGUUCGGUCCAUAUCCGGUGUAGGCGUUAGAAUAUUGAGAGGAGCCUUCUUUAGUACGAGAGGACCGAGAAGGACAUACCUCUGGUGUACCAGUUAUCGUGCCAACGGUAAACGCUGGGUAGCCAUGUAUGGAGAGGAUAACCGCUGAAAGCAUCUAAGUGGGAAGCCCACCUCAAGAUAAGUAUUCCC